rnacentral:rRNA from 1 species
AAACGGGUGGUAAUGCCGGAUGCUCCAGUUGAUCGCAUGGUCUUCUGGGAAAGCUUUCGCGGUAUGGGAUGGGGUCGCGUCCUAUCAGCUUGACGGCGGGGUAACGGCCCACCGUGGCUUCGACGGGUAGCCGGCCUGAGAGGGCGACCGGCCACAUUGGGACUGAGAUACGGCCCAGACUCCUACGGGAGGCAGCAGUGGGGAAUAUUGCACAAUGGGCGCAAGCCUGAUGCAGCGACGCCGCGUGAGGGAUGGAGGCCUUCGGGUUGUAAACCUCUUUUAUCGGGGAGCAAGCGAGAGUGAGUUUACCCGUUGAAUAAGCACCGGCUAACUACGUGCCAGCAGCCGCGGUAAUACGUAGGGUGCAAGCGUUAUCCGGAAUUAUUGGGCGUAAAGGGCUCGUAGGCGGUUCGUCGCGUCCGGUGUGAAAGUCCAUCGCUUAACGGUGGAUCCGCGCCGGGUACGGGCGGGCUUGAGUGCGGUAGGGGAGACUGGAAUUCCCGGUGUAACGGUGGAAUGUGUAGAUAUCGGGAA